CCCCGCCCCCCCCCCCCCCCCCAAGGGAAGCGGCGACUUCCGGGCGGAGCUGGUUGAAGGUGGGUGUCAGUCGAGGAAGGGUCCGGGCGGCCUUGUGCCCCUCGGUCCAGCUCUGGGCGCAGAUUGGCUUGAGGGAACGCCCCACCUCCUGCUUGCACACCUGAGGGCCCCUGGACCCCGGGAUGCGCCCUUAAGCCGAGAUGUCCCCUUCCGUGAGGCGCACCGGUGACCCGCGGUGCCUCGCAGGUGCUGCAGACCGUGGCUUCGGGCGGCUAAGAGGACUCCUGCAGGCAACAGGGACUUGUCAGGCCUGCUGUGGGAAGGCCCGCAGUGACAGCAGCGCGAUAAGCGCUGUCAGGGCGUUAGCCCUGGGUUAUCGGGCCGGGCUCACCUUCCUCUUCAAGGUGGCUCUCACCCCCUCCGCCUUCCCGGCUUCCUCCUCUUCUCCCAGCCGGGUGCACAGGACCCCCUCUCCUGCCCUUCACUCGCCCACCAGCAUGCUUCCGAGUCAGGCCCCUGCCUUGCCAUCACUACAAGUUUACGCACAGCCGGACAGCAUUUUUACAAGGUUCUUGACACACUGUUUUCUUUUAUCAGGCCUUAUCAAAUUCACUCCUGCUUCACUUCGCCAGGCCUGGCUCUUUAACUUCUUCCUGGUAGUUUAGGAUAAGCCUCAGUUUUUGAGUAGUUCUUGAAGGUACUUGAGUGCACAUGUGGGAUAAAGUACUAACCUACUUCUAUGACCUUCACAAAAAUCUAGGAAAUCAGGGCAGCCGUUUUAUUGAUGUAAAAACAGACUCUGAGGCCUUCUGAAUCCUUCUACUGCCCUUUGGCUACAGUGAGUGUGGUUUACUGUGUAGUCCUUUCCAGGGAUAGUUGCACUUCAGAAGACUGCCGAAUGCUUUAAGUGAAAAAAAAAAAAAAUUCUUUUUUUUUUUGCCUGAAUGCAAGCCUGUGGUAUAGCCUUAUGCAGGAAGGCAUUUUAGCGGAAAAUUCUAAUCAGGGCCAGGACGGUGGCUACUCGAUUUGACUCUCUCUACAUGAUUGACAUCAUGUAACGUGAUGGGUAAACGGUGACCUUGAGGGACAAAUCCAGGUGAAUAGAGAUUGCUCAAGGAACAAUUAUUUGGACAGGUAUAUUGCCGACAGGAAGCAUUGAACACUAAAAAGAUUUUCAACGCGGUUUCCCCUCUUCCUGUGGAAAGUAAUGCUCUGUGAGAACUAGACUCAUUCCGGAGGGAAAAAGGCAUGGGUACGGAUACUGUGCACAGCCGAUGCUGCUUUCGCUUCCUUUAAAUAACUGAGACUAGACAUCCCUACAAUUCGGAAAAUGUAUGAAGAGAGAAAGCUGGUUCAGUGUUAAUGUUACAGUCUGUACACAUGCAGUCAGUAAAUGUUGUGAUAUGUGUAAGUAUGUUACUUCCUGUGAAUUACCCCCAUAUUACUGUUAGUCACCCGGUUGUAAAGUUUUGUGCCCGGUUCUGACAUGGGGACACUGAGCACGUGAGCCUCUCUUGUCCCCUGUUUAUAUCCAAACCCAGCCCGACACACUCGGUUAUCCCCUGUGCUCUUCAGCCUCCUCUGUCCCUGCUGGUCACAGAUUUACCCUCCUUUCUGCCUUCCCGUCUCUUAAGCUGUACACAGCCCACACCCUCUGCCUCUACUUCCUUACGGUGUACAUUUUUUAACCCCUUGCAGUCUGACUUCCUUUUCCAUCUCUCUACUGAAACGGUUCCUUGUAAAGAGCGCGUCUAACCCAGCUUGCACACAGUGGCUCUGGGAUAUAACAGUGAGAAGACUGAUUGCAUUUAGCAGGGACAGGUGUGGGUUGAGCUUUACGUAAAGGGGGAUAUUCAGGAUACCAUGGGGACGUAUACCGAGGAGAUCUCAUUUAGUCGGGGCACAUAGAAGGCUUCUCAGGUAGAGAGAGAUUUGAGAUGAAGUUUGAGGGUGGAGUUAGGUGAGAGCUAGAGAAGGGAAGGAAGACGAGAGCCUUGCAAGUGAGAACAGCGAGUCGGAAGGACUGAAGCUGAGAGCCCACAGGUUCUCAAGGCUGCAGAGGCCUGUGUGCAGCAUGGUAAUGAGGCGCUCUUCUCUUUUUUUAUCCAGGUGCCCCCCUAGAAGUAUGCUGUGUAUUUCCCUCACAUUUCGCCGCAAGUGUGGUCUUUCUCAAAAAUCCCCGUCCCUCCUCCUGCGUGAAUGAUUCAUCAAGAAUCUUGGCCUAAGUCUGCUGCUGUUUCAGGGAAAACAGACUCUGGGGAAUGACUUGGGAACACAAUCGGGACUGGUCCAGUGGCUUCGUUAGAAGGCAGCUCGGCGUGUGUGAGCUUCUGCUCGGAGCGAGUCCCGUUGCCCAGCGGUCCUGGACACUGCCCCCUGCAGAUGGGAGGGAUUUCGCACCCCAGUGUUGUCUCCUCGGAUCAUUGUGUUUACUACUCUGUCUUGUACACGAAGACUCUGUUAAGGCAGAUGCGUGGACACUGAGAUAUUGGCAGAGGCCCCUGGGCUGCGUGCAAGGGGGCAUGGGCCUGAUGCUCCCCUCUGAAACCUGUUCCAGUGGCCAGGAACACACAACAGAGGCUCUGAAGGGGACCCCCCAUGGCUACUGCAAUCACAAGGACCUCCCUGUCACCCCCGAGCCCCCCCAGGACACAGGGUCGUCCUGUGCGUGGGUUCCCACCUAAGAUCCACCUUUCCGACAGGUACGUGACUGUCGCCUUCUUCCUUCCUGGGACGGGUCCGACGAAGACGCUGGCCUGGUGAGGGACGUGCGUGACCCGAACCCCACACAGCACGACCAGCUCCCCCAGCUUGGCUCUGGGCAGGCCGCUGGCCGGGGUGAUGAAUGUGGCCGGCUGAUGGGCAAACAGGGCUCCCCGGGACCGCCUGGCGGACGAGAGGCGCUCCUGGCGGCAGAGCUGUGGGCAAAGGCCGGGGGAGGGUUACUCCAAACCAAUUCACCGUUCACAACAGGCCGACUGCAAGGCUCACGUCCUUUUUCAGAAAAAGAACAAACUGAAGGUGAGGUUGCACACUCUCAGUGAAUUCUGAGGAUCCAGGGGAGACGAUGCCGUUUAAUGAUAACGACGGAUGACGAGCAGUGACAUUUUCUGAAGCAGCCUACAGGCAGAACUCCAAGCAAACAAAUGUAUAGGAAAAAAAAAAAAUGUAUGCCCUCUGGGACAUGUUGACGCUUAUCCGCCAUCCACACCUGAGGGCUUUAACCCGCAGGUUUCCCCGAGGACAGAACCGAACAUCUGAGAUGAAGACACUGAGGCAGAAGAGAUUUGCCCUGGUUAAACGCGACUCGAGCUGCAAGGAAAAACCCACAAUCCGUAAACUCAGUGCAUCACUGGGCCACCCUGCCCUGAAGCUGGGGAUCAAGAAUCUUACUAAAGUUGGAUGUAGUCACACGUCCUAAAAACUAGCUGCAGAAGUUGAUAACUGAAACAAUACAGAAAGGAAUACAGUAAGGACACCCAGAAUUCCUGAAGCCACCCGAGGACCCCGGACACCCUGAGAACAACCAAGUGGGAAGAGGGGAAGGCCUGCAUCCUAGGUAACAAAUGCUUCUAAGUCACUGGCCUGACCAAACCGGGAAUUGUCCUCCUUUUGUCCUUUUAAUGUCAGGAAAAAAAAAAUCUUGAUUUUUAAGCUACUCUUUGUUGAGGUUUUUAUUUGCAGAAGCCCAAGCAACCAAAUGCUGCAGUUCUCACGACCCUGCCCCUUACCAGAGAGCCCAGGAUGCUUGUUUAAAGGAGAUCAUGGAAGAAAAGAGGAUUAAGUGGAAUUUACUGACAGCUCUGGACUAAAGGAGCCUCCAACAUAACAGGACAGAGACGCAUCUAUAAGGGGGACAGAAAGCAGUGACAGCGGAAGUGGAGGGAGGCGACGUCUGGAAGACACAGCUGGCGUGCCCUGCAGCCCCCGGGGGUUCAAGACGCCGCCGGGGUUUCUGGUGUGCGUGGCUUGCAGGGCUACGGAUGCAGUUCCGGGAGCCCCUCCUUCCCGGGGCGCGCAAGCCCACGUCUCUUCCUCGUCACCUCUUAAUGGCCAUUUUCUCUCUCUCUGCGUGGGCGCAUUCAGCAGUUAUGGACUGACGCUCCCUGCUUUUCUCUCACCUCAAGGUUUGCUCAUCCAGCCGUGUUAACAGGCGCCGUGCUGCGCUUUUUCCAGGUGGCGCCGCUGUUCAGCAGUGUAGCCGAGGUGGAGAUUAAGUCUUAGCAAUACACCCACCUUUAGGUGGGGGGGUCUGUCGCUGUAAAAGCAACCGGAAAGCAUCUUGGGGGAGGGGUGGGCUUCCAGACCUUUCCAUAUUGCCUCAUAGCAUUUUGGGAAUUAUCUUAGGUAU